AUUGUCAGAGGGUUGCCGUGUGACACCUGCCGACCAAUUGAGUUACGAUUAUUAGCUGCCGAGCUAUCCCAGGGAGGAUAUGAUUAGUCCUGAUAUGAGAACAGAUCAAUGGAUUGUAGGAGGAACACUACGUACACCAGCCUUACUCAGGAUAUACAUAUAUGCUAAUAUUGGAAUAACUAAUAUAAGACCCCGCCAUUUUCUACUAUAUCACGUGGUUUUGUGCUUGCAUUAUAAACAGCCCUAUCGGGAUCGUUUGUCUUUACUACAGAGAUAAGACUCUCUUGGAAACAUCAAGCCUUUGUGUUUUGGAACUUCCACAAAGCCGUUAUGACGGGAACCGUGAUUCUGUUUUGUUCAGUCUUAUUGUCCAGCAUAUUUUUGUCAAACGCAAACUGGUACGGAAAGAGAGGAAGCGAAGUUGAUGACGCCUUCCAGAGAUACCUAGAAGGCAGACUUGUGAAAUCAAUUAACAUUCGGCAUAAUGACGACAGGCAAGUCCUGUUCAAGAUAUCGAAAUUAAUACAGGAAUGGCAGCUGAAAAACAAAGCAAACGAGGUGGCAGAAGUGACGUCAUAUGACCGGAAGUGAACAACUCAAUCAAACGAGACGAGAAUCCAAAGCACCAAUAUUGUAGUGAUGAACAUAUCCUGGGCGGUGCUUUUGUCUCGAAGGUUCUCGUUUUACCCUCGUGGAGUUCCCAGAAGAUUUUAUUUUCGUAUUGAUAAACGUAUACAUAGACUACGCACGAAUUUCUGCGCGUGAAAACAUGGACGUGCAUAUUUCAUGUGUGUAUUUAUCGCUGUUAAGAUUACCAAUAGGAAACUAAAAGGAUGACAAUGUACUUUCUUAUUUUUGUUCUUACAUAAUGAAGCAUUGUUAUCAUUCAUCAAUAUCAUCACUACACCAACAUCAGGUACAAAGACACUAGCAAUAUCACCUGAAACAACACAUGAUCAAAAAUGUACCUGUAUAUAUUUGCUUGAAAUACUUAUAUAUUUUUUAAUUCACGUACUAUUACACUUAACUUGUCAUGUUUUUAUAAGUAGAAUCUCCAAUCACCAAUCAAUUAAGUCAAUUACCAAUUAAAGAUAUACUAACAAAACAAACACUUUCAUAAAAACAAAGCUAACAUCUGAUGCCUACUUUUUGCUGAGCAUAUGAAUCUUACAUGUACAUAUUCUUGAAUAUUGUAACCAUUGUUUCUGAGUGUUUAGCUGUAUACUAUUCCAAUAAAACCAGAUAAUUAUACAUAUAACACGACUCGAAGUAAACACAUAUAUAGAUAUCAGUUACCGGCGAAAUAGCCCACAGUAAACUCCUAUAUAUAUAUCCCUACUAGUUUUAUUUACACAAAUAUAAUCACUAUCACUUACUGGUCUCGAUUGCACAAAUAGAGCCAUACAUAUACAAAACUACUACCAACUGGUCAAAAUUACACACAUGGAUAAUUACCUUUAUUUUUCUGUCCAAAUCAAAUUCAACACAUAUAAAAUAACCGCUUACCAGUCUAGAUUGCACAAAUAUACACACAUAAAAUAACCGCUUACCGGUGUUAAUUAUACACAUGCACAUAUGUAAUAACCUCUUUCCGCUUCAAAUGACACACAUACACAAGUAAAUCUUAUGUGUACCGUUCAAAUUACACGCACAGCAAACAUGCAUACAUUAUACACCUCAUAUAUACCUCACAUACUUACCACGUCAAACCACAUAAAGGCUUUAAUUACAUACAUUACAUAAUUACAGUUACCGGUCCAAAUUACACAAACACGCAUAUAUGCUAACCGCUUAUCGAUCGGUGUAAAGCACAUAUAUAUACAUAUAUAAUUACCGCUUAACGGUCUAAAUUGAUCACAUAUGUAAUUGCGACUUUCAUGUACCGAUGUAAAUCACGCACAUAGCAAACAUACAUAUAUGAUUAUCGCUUUAAGACCUAAAUUACUUACAUACACAAUGACCACUUACCGGUCCAAAAUAUGAAAAUAUAUAUAUAUGCAUAUAUAUAUAAUUACCUCUUUCCGGUCCACUUUUUACACACAUAUAAUAACGAUUUACCGGUUCAAAUUACACACAAAGCAAACCGGUAUAUAUAACUACCACAUAACAAUCAUAUAAAACGUCCAAUUACCGGUCAUACAGAAAGUAAACACAUAUAUGAGAAAGAGGAGAAAAUGCAGCGAUAAGACCAGGACUCGAACUCAUGACCUCCGAAUUCUAGACUGAUACUCAGACCGUUUGAGCUACGUGGUCAUCGGCGUUCAGCCCAGUCAAGUUUUACUACAUUCAUUCCUCCUUCCAGAAAGUGUUCGACCCCGACGGCACACACGAGGCCCUAUUCAACCUCACUUGGUAUUUAAUUAGGCGUCGAAUGUAAAAGGAGAGGAAAAAUGCAGUGGCAAAACCGGGAUUCGAACCUAGAACAUUUAAACUCUAUGCAGAUGUUCUAAUCAUUUGAGCCUUCUGGCCACCGGCGUUCAGUAAAGUUCGGAUAAACAUAACUCAUAGCUCAUUCUUACCUCUCUAUGUUUUGAACAUAAUUAACAUUCACAUACAAUAUACCAUUUAGCCGUCUAAGUUAUAAAGACACAACAAUACCACUUAACCGUCUAACUCCCACAAAAACCUGAACUCGCCUGUAUAUCUAUCGCUAAUUAAAGACUGUGUAUACAUCA